CCUACGGGAGGCAGCAGUAGGGAAUCUUCCGCAAUGGACGAAAGUCUGACGGAGCAACGCCGCGUGAACGAUGAAGGCCUUCGGGUCGUAAAGUUCUGUUGUUAGGGAAGAACAAGUGCUAGUUAAAUAAGCUGGCACCUUGACGGUACCUAACCAGAAAGCCACGGCUAACUACGUGCCAGCAGCCGCGGUAAUACGUAGGUGGCAAGCGUUGUCCGGAAUUAUUGGGCGUAAAGCGCGCGCAGGCGGUUUCUUAAGUCUGAUGUGAAAGCCCCCGGCUCAACCGGGGAGGGUCAUUGGAAACUGGGAAACUUGAGUGCAGAAGAGGAAAGUGGAAUUCCAAGUGUAGCGGUGAAAUGCGUAGAGAUUUGGAGGAACACCAGUGGCGAAGGCGACUUUCUGGUCUGUAACUGACGCUGAGGCGCGAAAGCGUGGGGAGCAAACAGGAUUAGAUACCCUGGUAGUCCACGCUGUAAACGAUGAGUGCUAAGUGUUAGAGGGUUUUCGCCCUUUAGUGCUGAAGUUAACGCAUUAAGCACUCCGCCUGGGGAUACGGUCGCAAGACUGAAACUCAAAUGAAUUGACGG
rnacentral:rRNA from 1 species